rnacentral:rRNA from 1 species
AUUCUCAGUUCGGAUUGUAGGCUGAAACUCGCCUACAUGAAGCUGGAGUUACUAGUAAUCGCAGAUCAGAAUGCUGCGGUGAAUGCGUUCCCGGGUCUUGUACUCACCGCCCGUCACACCACGGAAGUUGGGGGCGCCCGAAGCCACUUAGCUAACCCUUUUGGGAAGCGAGUGUCGAAGGUGAAAUCAAUAACUGGGGUGAAGUCGUAACAAGGUAGC